CAGGAUGAACGCUAGCUACAGGCUUAACACAUGCAAGUCGAGGGGCAGCAUGGUCUUAGCUUGCUAAGGCCGAUGGCGACCGGCGCACGGGUGAGUAACACGUAUCCAACCUGCCGUCUACUCUUGGACAGCCUUCUGAAAGGAAGAUUAAUACAAGAUGGCAUCAUGAGUCCGCAUGUUCACAUGAUUAAAGGUAUUCCGGUAGACGAUGGGGAUGCGUUCCAUUAGAUAGUAGGCGGGGUAACGGCCCACCUAGUCUUCGAUGGAUAGGGGUUCUGAGAGGAAGGUCCCCCACAUUGGAACUGAGACACGGUCCAAACUCCUACGGGAGGCAGCAGUGAGGAAUAUUGGUCAAUGGGCGAGAGCCUGAACCAGCCAAGUAGCGUGAAGGAUGACUGCCCUAUGGGUUGUAAACUUCUUUUAUAAAGGAAUAAAGUCGGGUAUGGAUACCCGUUUGCAUGUACUUUAUGAAUAAGGAUCGGCUAACUCCGUGCCAGCAGCCGCGGUAAUACGGAGGAUCCGAGCGUUAUCCGGAUUUAUUGGGUUUAAAGGGAGCGUAGAUGGAUGUUUAAGUCAGUUGUGAAAGUUUGCGGCUCAACCGUAAAAUUGCAGUUGAUACUGGAUAUCUUGAGUGCAGUUGAGGCAGGCGGAAUUCGUGGUGUAGCGGUGAAAUGCUUAGAUAUCACGAAGAACUCCGAUUGCGAAGGCAGCCUGCUAAGCUGCAACUGACAUUGAGGCUCGAAAGUGUGGGUAUCAAACAGGAUUAGAUACCCUGGUAGUCCACACGGUAAACGAUGAAUACUCGCUGUUUGCGAUAUACUGCAAGCGGCCAAGCGAAAGCGUUAAGUAUUCCACCUGGGGAGUACGCCGGCAACGGUGAAACUCAAAGGAAUUGACGGGGGCCCGCACAAGCGGAGGAACAUGUGGUUUAAUUCGAUGAUACGCGAGGAACCUUACCCGGGCUUAAAUUGCAGAUGAAUUACGGUGAAAGCCGUAAGCCGCAAGGCAUCUGUGAAGGUGCUGCAUGGUUGUCGUCAGCUCGUGCCGUGAGGUGUCGGCUUAAGUGCCAUAACGAGCGCAACCCUUGUUGUCAGUUACUAACAGGUUCCGCUGAGGACUCUGACAAGACUGCCAUCGUAAGAUGUGAGGAAGGUGGGGAUGACGUCAAAUCAGCACGGCCCUUACGUCCGGGGCUACACACGUGUUACAAUGGGGGGUACAGAGGGCCGCUACCACGCGAGUGGAUGCCAAUCCCCAAAACCUCUCUCAGUUCGGACUGGAGUCUGCAACCCGACUCCACGAAGCUGGAUUCGCUAGUAAUCGCGCAUCAGCCACGGCGCGGUGAAUACGUUCCCGGGCCUUGUACACACCGCCCGUCAAGCCAUGGGAGCCGGGGGUACCAGAAGUGCGUAACCGCGAGGAGCGCCCUAGGGUA
rnacentral:rRNA from 1 species